rnacentral:rRNA from 1 species
GACGAACGCUGGCGGCGUGCCUAACACAUGCAAGUCGAGCGGAAAUAAUUGAAAGCUUGCUUUUGGUUAUUUUAGCGGCGGACGGGUGAGUAACGCGUGGGCAACCUGCCUGUUACAAGGGGAUAACAGAGGGAAACUUGUUCUAAUACCGCAUCACACAGCGAGGUAGAAUUCACUUGUUGUCAACGGAGAAAUCCGGUGACAGAUGGGGCCGCGUCCAAUGAGCUAGUUGGUGAUGUAACGGACCACCAAGGCGACGAUUGGUAGCCGAACUGAGAGGUUGAUCGGCCACAUUGGGACUGAGACACGGCCCAGACUCCUACGGGAGGCAGCAGUGGGGAAUAUUGCACAAUGGGGGAAACCCUGAUGCAGCAACGCCGCGUGAAGGAUGAAGGUUUUCGGAUUGUAAACUUCUUUAGUCAGGGACGAAAAAAAUGACGGUACCUGAAGAAUAAGCCACGGCUAACUACGUGCCAGCAGCCGCGGUAA